GAGUAACACGUGGGUAACCUGCCCUAUAGAGAGGGAUAGCCUUCCGAAAGGGAGAUUAAUACCUCAUAAUAUCCUAGUAUCGCAUGAUACAUGGAUUAAAGGAGCAAUCCGCUAUAGGAUGGACCCGCGGCGCAUUAGUUAGUUGGUGAGGUAACGGCUCACCAAGGCGACGAUGCGUAGCCGACCUGAGAGGGUGAUCGGCCACAUUGGGACUGAGACACGGCCCAGACUCCUACGGGAGGCUGCAGUGGGGAAUAUUGCACAAUGGGGGAAACCCUGAUGCAGCAACGCCGCGUGAGUGAUGACGGUCUUCGGAUUGUAAAGCUCUGUCUUUAGGGACGAUAAUGACGGUACCUAAGGAGGAAGCCACGGCUAACUACGUGCCAGCAGCCGCGGUAAUACGUAGGUGGCAAGCGUUGUCCGGAUUUACUGGGCGUAAAGGGAGCGUAGGCGGAUUUUUAAGUGGGAUGUGAAAUACCCGGGCUCAACUUGGGUGCUGCAUUCCAAACUGGUUAUCUAGAGUGCAGGAGAGGAGAGUGGAAUUCCUAGUGUAGCGGUGAAAUGCGUAGAGAUUAGGAAGAACACCAGUGGCGAAGGCGAUUCUCUGGACUGUAACUGACGCUGAGGCUCGAAAGCAUGGGUAGCGAACAGGAUUAGAUACCCUGGUAGUCCAUGCCGUAAACGAUGAAUGCUAGGUGUUGGAGGUUGUCAUGACCUCUGUGCCGCCGCUAACGCAUUAAGCACUCCGCCUGGGGAGUACGACCGCAAGGUUGAAACUCAAAGGAAUUGACGGGGGCCCGCACAAGCGGUGGAGUAUGUGGUUUAAUUCGAAGCAACGCGAAGAACCUUACCAGGUCUUGACAUACUCAUAAAUGUUCCAGAGAUGGAAUUUUCCCUUCGGGGACAAUGGAUACAGGUGGUGCAUGGUUGUCGUCAGCUCGUGUCGUGAGAUGUUGGGUUAAGUCCCGCAACGAGCGCAACCCCUGUCGUUAGUUGCCAGCAUUCAGUUGGGGACUCUAACGAGACUACCAGUGACAAACUGGAGGAAGGUGGGGAUGACGUCAAAUCAUCAUGCCCCUUAUGACCUGGGCUACACACGUGCUACAAUGGUUGGUACAAAGAGAAGGGAAGCGGUGACGUGGAGCAAACCUCAUAAAGCCAAUCUCAAUUCGGAUUGUAGGCUGCAACUCGCCUACAUGAAGUAGGAAUCGCUAGUAAUCGCGAAUCAGAAUGUCGCGGUGAAAACGUUCCCGAGUCUUGCACACACCGCCCGUCA
rnacentral:rRNA from 1 species